GAUGAACGCUAGCGGCAGGCCUAACACAUGCAAGUCGAGGGGUAACAUAGAAAAGCUUGCGUUUUCUGAUGACGACCGGCGCACGGGUGCGUAACGCGUAUACAACCUACCUUUUAGCGGGGAAUAGCCCAGGGAAACUUGGAUUAAUGCCCCAUAGUAUAUAGACUUCUCCUGAAGUUUAUAUUAAACAUUUAUGGCUAUUAGAUGGGUAUGCGUCCUAUUAGUUAGUUGGUAAGGUAACGGCUUACCAAGGCAGCGAUAGGUAGGGGUCCUGAGAGGGAGAUCCCCACACUGGUACUGAGACACGGACCAGACUCCUACGGGAGGCAGCAGUGAGGAAUAUUGGACAAUGGGCGAGAGCCUGAUCCAGCCAUGCCGCGUGCAGGAAGACUGCCCUAUGGGUUGUAAACUGCUUUUACAGAGGAAGAACCACCCCCACGUGUGGGGGUUUGACGGUACUCUGUGAAUAAGGAUCGGCUAACUCCGUG
rnacentral:rRNA from 1 species